AAUAACUCGAGGUUUUCUCUGAAUACUGUCUUUCUACGACGUCUGACUGGACGACACGUCUUCUCCAAGCGUGCUUCCCGAUAUAGACACGUAUGGCUGCGCUGCAGAUCUCAUAAUCUGAACGCUCAUCGGGAAAAGAGGGAAGCGCCCGACUUUGGAAGAGAAGGAUGGAGGGAGAAGAGAAGAUGAAGAAGUAUAAAGAGAGAAACCAAAAUAAUAACGGGGAAUAAAUCCGAAGCUGCAGUCUGUGGAGACGACCGCAUGUGAUGUGACGCGACUGACCUGAGGUCCCUGUUGUGGACUCAGCAGGGGAAAAUCCCAACUCUGGAGGGUCCAUUCCAUUUACUGCUAU